UUUUUUUUAUAGUAAACCAGAAGAUGACAGGUGUAAAAUUUGUUUUAAUAAAGAAUAUAGCGAAAUAAUUAAUAAAAGAAGAUAUAAAAAUUUUUUUAUUCUGACAUUUUCAUUUAUCAAAAUAAUCGAUAACUAUAAUAAUAAAGGUUAUUAUAUAUGUAUACAUAUUCAAAUUCGCAAUUAUUGACUCUAUCACAAAACAUAGAUAUACAUUUAUUUGUCCAAAUUGUAUUUUAUAUAUAUUUUUUUUUUAUUUUUAAGAUGAAUAUAUAUCUAUUAACGUAUUAUAUCAAGCUAUUGCUGAAAAAAAAGAAAAUUUUGAAAUUGGGAUAAAAUACAAUUUAAUUGUUGUUCCUAUUCCUAAUAAAGUAAUAAGAAACAGUAUUAGAGGCUCACAAGUUAGUAAUCUCUGGUUGCUAAAUUAUAGAAAACAAAAAAAAAAAAAAAUUGAAAGCAGCAUACUAACAUUAAAGGAAAGCACAACCAUGUCACUAUCAACUGAACAGCUUAACUGUUUACUACGUACUCAAAACUUAAAUGAUAUGAAUAGAAUUAUAACCAACAUAUUGAAGAUACCCCUUCACAGUUCCUGUUUAAAUAAAAUAUGUAAGACGACAAAAUUAACCUUAAUAUUAAUUUGUAUAUGUAGCAAUUUUUUAAAAUAUUUUAAAUUAGAUUCAUGUGCAUAUGAUAUAUAUAACAAGGUAAAUACAAACAAAUGGAUGAAUGCGCCUAUAAAGGGACAUAUGUUGGAAAGAGUAAGAGCGCCUCAUUGUUUUUUUAUGUGCUUAGAUGAAAUAAUAAUAACAGAAUUAGUUAAAUUCUUGAAUUAUUUUUGUAACAUUAAAUUGUUCAACGUCAAAACUGAUUCUUUCAGUGUAUUACUUACUCAAAAAUAUGAUAUAUUAGUUAUAAAUAUGGAUAAUUUAAACACUCCUCAAAUUAAUACAUUAGUAGAAUUAAUGAAAAAUGGAGUAUAUAAAAAUAAAAAAUCAUCAUUUCCAAUAUCGAUUACCUUUUGGGUAUAUAUCGUUAAACCAUAUAUAAGAAGCGACGAAGAACUUGACAAGUAUGUACAAAAUAAUUUAUUAGCUCGUUUUGAUUUUUUGUUUGAGCUUAGUUUUGAAAAAGAUGAUGACGAUGAUGUGAUUGAUGAAAUAUUAAGAAAUGCUGAUGAUGAUAACGAUAAUUAUAAUGAAAUAAAAAAUAAAAUUUUUUUUUCUGAAUUGAUUGAUAAGUAUGCUUACUUAAAAAAAGGGAAUUUAUAUAAUUAUGAAUUUGUUGAAAUGAGUAAUACAACAAAAGCUAUAAUUCAAAAGUAUUUUAAUAUGGCUUCCGAUUCAACAACUUUAACUAUUUACCAUAUAGGCAUUUGUGAGUUAUUAUGUAUAAGUGUGUCCAUUUUAUUAGGAAAAAAGGAAUGCUUAAUAGAACAUGCUGUUUUAGGGAUGUUUUUAUAUGACAACUUUGUAUCAGCUACAAAAAACAAAUUAACUCAAUUCAAAAAAGAAUUUUUAAAUAGUAUACUGAACUGUUUAGAUACUAAAUAUAAUUCGUUACAAAAAUUAAUGAAUUAUUUUUCGACUUAUUUAAAUGCUAAAAAAGAUACGUAACAACAAAAUAAAUUAAUAUUUCAUUACUAAAAUAUUAUUUUA
rnacentral:lncRNA from 1 species